rnacentral:rRNA from 1 species
GACGAACGCUGGCGGCGUGCCUAAUACAUGCAAGUAGAACGCUGAAGGAGGAGCUUGCUUCUCCGGAUGAGUUGCGAACGGGUGAGUAACGCGUAGGUAACCUGCCUGGUAGCGGGGGAUAACUAUUGGAAACGAUAGCUAAUACCGCAUAACAGUAGAUGUUGCAUGACAUUUGCUUAAAAGGUGCAAUUGCAUCACUACCAGAUGGACCUGCGUUGUAUUAGCUAGUUGGUGAGGUAACGGCUCACCAAGGCGACGAUACAUAGCCGACCUGAGAGGGUGAUCGGCCACACUGGGACUGGGACACGGCCCAGACUCCUACGGGAGGCAGCAGUAGGGAAUCUUCGGCAAUGGACGGAAGUCUGACCGAGCAACGCCGCGUGAGUGAAGAAGGUUUUCGGAUCGUAAAGCUCUGUUGUAAGGGAAGAACGAGUGUGAGAGUGGAAAGUUCACACUGUGACGGUAUCUUAGCAGAAAGGGACGGCUAACUACGUG